rnacentral:tRNA from 1 species
AAGUAAGUAGUUUAUUAAAAAACGUUAAGUUGCAAACUUAAAGAAGAAUUUUCCUUGCUUU